rnacentral:rRNA from 1 species
AACAGGAUUAGAUACCCUGGUAGUCCACGCUGUAAACGAUGUCGACUCGGAGGUUGUGCCCUUGAGGCGUGGCUUCCGGAGCUAACGCGUUAAGUCGACCGCCUGGGGAGUACGGCCGCAAGGUUAAAACUCAAAUGAAUUGACGGGGGCCCGCACAAGCGGUGGAGCAUGUGGUUUAAUUCGAUGCAACGCGAAGAACCUUACCUACUCUUGACAUCCAGAGAAUUUAGCAGAGAUGCUUUAGUGCCUUCGGGAACUCUGAGACAGGUGCUGCAUGGCUGUCGUCAGCUCGUGUUGUGAAAUGUUGGGUUAAGUCCCGCAACGAGCGCAACCCUUAUCCUUUGUUGCCAGCACGUAAUGGUGGGAACUCAAAGGAGACUGCCGGUGAUAAACCGGAGGAAGGUGGGGAUGACGUCAAGUCAUCAUGGCCCUUACGAGUAGGGCUACACACGUGCUACAAUGGCAUAUACAAAGAGAAGCGAACUCGCGAGAGCAAGCGGACCUCAUAAAGUAUGUCGUAGUCCGGAUUGGAGUCUGCAACUCGACUCCAUGAAGUCGGAAUCCCUAGUAAUCGUAGAUCAGAAUGCUACGGUGAAUACGUUCCCGGGCCUUGUACACACCGCCCGUCACACCAUGGGAGUGGGUUGCAAAAGAAGUAGGUAGCUUAACCUUCGGGAGGGCGCUUACCACUUUGUGAUUCAUGACUGGGGUGAAGUCGUAACAAGGUAACC